UACGUAGGGUGCAAGCGUUAAUCGGAAUUACUGGGCGUAAAGCGUGCGCAGGCGGUUCUAUAAGACAGAUGUGAAAUCCCCGGGCUCAACCUGGGAACUGCAUUUGUGACUGUAGAGCUGGAGUACGGUAGAGGGGGAUGGAAUUCCGCGUGUAGCAGUGAAAUGCGUAGAUAUCUGGAGGAACACCGGUGGCGAAGGCGGCAUCCUGGACCGACACUGACGCUGAGGAGCGAAAGCCAGGGGAGCAAACGGG
rnacentral:rRNA from 1 species